rnacentral:rRNA from 1 species
UACGUAGGGGGGCGAGCGUUGUCCGGAUUUAUUGGGCGUAAAGAGCUCGUAGGCGGUUUGGCAAGUCGGGUGUGAAAACUCCGGGCUCAACUCGGAGACGCCACUCGAUACUGCCAUGACUCGAGUCCGGUAGGGGAGUGCGGAAUUCCUGGUGUAGCGGUGAAAUGCGCAGAUAUCAGGAGGAACACCGGUGGCGAAGGCGGCACUCUGGGCCGGUACUGACGCUGAGGGAGCGAAAGCGUGGGGAGCGAACAGG